rnacentral:rRNA from 1 species
UACGGAGGGUGCAAGCGUUAAUCGGAAUUACUGGGCGUAAAGCGUGCGCAGGCGGUUUGUUAAGUCCGUUGUGAAAGCCCCGAGCUCAACUUGGGAAUUGCAGUGGAUACUGGCAGGCUGGAGUACGGUAGAGGAAGGUGGAAUUCCCGGUGUAGCGGUGAAAUGCGUAGAUAUCGGAAGGAACACCUGUGGCGAAAGCGGCUCACUGGACCAUUACUGACGCUGAGGCACGAAAGCUAGGGGAGCAAACAGG